UUUUUGAAAAUAAUAUAAAGUCUAAUCUGCCCACUGAUUUAAUAUUAAAGGGCUGCAGUAUUUUGACUGUACAAAGGUAGCAUAAUCAUUUGUCUCUUAAUUGGUGACUUGUAUGAAAGAUUGGAUGAAAUAUAAACUGUCUCUAUAUAAUUAUUAAAAUUUAAUUUUUUAGUUAAAAAGCUAAAAUAAAUUUAAAAGACGAGAAGACCCUAUAGAGUUUUAUAAUUUUAUUAAUAUUAAAAAANAUAUAAAUAUUAAGUUUAAUAUUAAUAAAAUUAUUUUAUUGGGGUGAUAGAAAAAUUAAAAUAACUUUUUUUAAAAAUAAACAUUAAUAUAUGAUUAAAUGAUCCAUUAAUAAUGAUUAAAAGAAAAAAUUACCUUAGGGAUAACAGCGUAAUUUUUUUUUUUAGGUCAAAUAAGAAAAAAAGUUUGCGACCUCGAUGUUGGAUUAAGAUAAAAUUUAAAUGCAAAAGUUUAAAAUUUUU
rnacentral:rRNA from 1 species